rnacentral:lncRNA from 1 species
CUAGUGAUUACUCUGUCCGGGGAGGUGACCUUAAGGCUUUGAUGGCUGAGUUUGCUUCUUUGAUUCCCAACGUUGAUCCAAAUGAGACUAGUGAUCACUCUAUCCGGGGAGAUGACCUUGAGGCUUUGAUGGCCAAGUUUGCUUCUUUGAUUCCCAAUGUUGACCCAAAUGAGAGUAGUGAUCACUCUAUCCGGGAAGAUGACCUUGAGGCUUUGAUGGCCAAGUUUGCUUCUUUGAUUCCCAACGUUGAUGCAAAUGAGACUAGUGAUCGCUCUAUCCGGGGAGAUGACCUUGAGGCUUUGAUGGCCAAGUUUGCUUCUUUGAUUCCCAAUGUUGACCCAAAUGAAAGUAGUGAUCACUCUAUCCGGGAAGAUGACCUUGAGGCUUUGAUGGCCAAGUUUGCUUCUUUGAUUCCCAACGUUGAUCCAAAUGAGACUAGUGAUCACUCUAUCCGGGGAGAUGACCUUGAGGCUUUGAUGGCCAAGUUUGCUUCUUUGAUUCCCAACGUUGAUCCAAAUGAGACUAGUGAUCACUCUAUCCGGGGAGAUGACCUUGAGGCUUUGAUGGCCAAGUUUGCUUCUUUGAUUCCCAACGUUGAUCCAAGUGCAAUUAGUUCGAUUCCUGAAUACACCAGCUGAAGAAAUCGCCAAGUUAAAGUGUAAUGAGAGUCCAAAGUACUAUGUCUUUGAGUGUCCUAUAUAUGUAUAUAUAUGUUUGCUGCUAAAUCAAGCAUCAU